UACGUAGGGUCCGAGCGUUGUCCGGAAUUAUUGGGCGUAAAGAGCUCGUAGGCGGUUUGUCGCGUCUGCUGUGAAAUCCCGAGGCUCAACCUCGGGUCUGCAGUGGGUACGGGCAGACUGGAGUGCGGUAGGGGGAGAAUGGAAUUCCUGGUGUAGCGGUGGAAUGCGCAGAUAUCAGGAGGAACACCGAGUGGAAGGCGGUCUCUGGGCCGUAACUGACGCUGAGGAGCGAAAGCGUGGGGAGCGAAACAGG
rnacentral:rRNA from 1 species